rnacentral:rRNA from 1 species
AUUGAACGCUGGCGGCAUGCCUUACACAUGCAAGUCGAACGGCAGCACGGGAGCAAUCCUGGUGGCGAGUGGCGAACGGGUGAGUAAUGUAUCGGAACGUGCCCAGUCGUGGGGGAUAACGUAGCGAAAGCUACGCUAAUACCGCAUACGAUCUAUGGAUGAAAGCGGGGGAUCGCAAGACCUCGCGCGAUUGGAGCGGCCGAUAUCAGAUUGGGUAGUUGGUGGGGUAAAGGCUCACCAAGCAGACGAUCUGUAGCUGGUCUGAGAGGACGACCAGCCACACUGAGACUGAGACACGUCCCAGACUCCUGCUGGAAGCAGCAGUGGGGAAUUUUGGACAAUGUGCGCAAGCCUGAUCCAGCAAUGCCGCGUGCAGGAUGAAGGCCUUCGGGUUGUAAACUGCUUUUGUACGGAACGAAACGGUGAGCUCUAAUACAGUUUGCUAAUGACGGUACCGUAAGAAUAAGCACCGGCUAACUACGUGCCAGCCGCCGCAGUAA